GACCCAUAACAUAACCUUGCACUAGCCCAGCAACCCCUAACCGACCCGGCCCAAAUCUUUAUCCCUUCCCUUAAACAGCAAAACAACGACAAUAACUCAAUAACAACAUUAUCAGCAAACCACGUAUAAACACAACACAACCACCGUAUUAACAACAAACGUCAUCUAUUUCCACAACGAAAAUACCGUCAACUAUGCAAAACCCUAGCCGCCUCCCUUCUUUUACCAUUUUGUCCUCAUUACGUUGCCAUUAAUGGCUAAAAAGCUUUUCAUCAUACUCAGAUCAUGUUCAUCCAUUUUCGGCAAGGAUAAACGGAUACAACUUUCUCCACUGAUUUUUCGAGUACAAUGGCCAUCAAUGCUUUUGUCUCACUGUGGACUCCAAUUACUCGAAAAAUAAUUUCAAAAUUCGUAUUUCAAAUUUAAAACCCUAGUUCUUUCCCUCAAUUUCCCCUAUAAUAGACAUUGGAGAAUAGAGGUGAAAAUGGGGGAUUUUUGGGGAAAAAUUGAGGAUUCGGGAGGCUCAUGCUUCUAAUCCUACGUAAUCAAAAAUUCUGGAAGCAACAGACUCAAAAGCUUAAUUUUCACAAAAAUUAAACUUCGAAGAGUCGGAAUUUAAACUCCCGUGGUGGAAGUCUGUCGUCAAGUCUCGUUGCCCUAAGUUCGUUGCUCCAAAAAGUCCUUUGGACUCUAUACCUUGUAUCUCUUUUGGGUUUUGCCCAAAUCAUCGAUAUCCAUCGAGUCAAACCUCACCAAGUCCACAAAUGGAUUAAUAUACCAUAAGCAACUGCUGGUAUACAAUGGUAUACGAUAGAAAUACGAACUGUACAGGUGAAAGGUGGCUGGUACACAUCAUUAUAUGACACAUAGUAAAGCUGGAAGCGAGCAUACAUAAUCUUAUAUGCUUAUAUACACCAUAUACAUGAAAAGACAUGAAAAACAGGGCUGAUAUACGACAGAUAUACACUAGAAUAGCUGCAGCUGUAAACUAUCAUACAGGCGCAGAAAAAAUGGAAUCUUAUAUGCUUAUAUACACCAUAUACAUGAAAAGACAUGAAAAACAGGGAUGAUAUACAACAGAUAUACACUAGAAUAGCUGCAGCUGUAAACUAUCAUACAUGCGCAGAAAAAAUGGAAGCAAGCAUGCUAAUUUUUACACUGAUAUACAGCGUGUACGCGAUGGUAUACCAAAAAAAUUGCAAGGGAAAGGGCUGGUAGUAUACAGCUGAUAUACAUGAAAAAGUGGACUGAAGAUCAAUGAAAUUUAGGCCCAAAAACUGGACAAUCCUUUAAUGGGCCAAAAGGGCCCAAUUUUAACUCUCCUCUCUUUAUUUCCCAUGUUAACUUAUUUAUUUGUAUUUACUUGAACACUUUAAUUAAUUAAUCUAGAUAAAUUCCCUUA